CAGGCCUCAGGGUCUGUUAGCGGGGAUGAACCGGUUUCUGGCGUUGUUGGAAAUCACGUUCAGAAGAGACCCGAACAACUUCAGACCACGCAUCAACAAGCACAACUCCAUCAAGGACACAGAGCAGAAGAAGAGUGGAAACUACUUCUUCCUGGACGACUAAAACGACUUCCCGCGGACCAACCGUGACUUUCUGCGACGCUUUUCAGGGGGCUGCGUUCCCACGCGCAGCCCCCCGUGACAUCUACCGACGCAUACAACCGAGCUGCGUUCACAACAAACAGCAGAUAUGUUUAAAGAAACUAUCAUAAAGAGAAAUGUAAAAGAUAAAAAAACAAAAAACAACCCCCAUCAGCCUUUUUAAUGUCCCAGGCUGCUCAUCCAGCAGUGUUGUCAAACGUUUAAAACGAACACAGCGCAUCGCAUUCUCGGUUCAGUUACCCUGAACGCACGGAGCUGCGUUCACAAGCCAGCGACAUUGUGGAACAUUGAACAGCGUAUUUUAACUCAUGCAUUUACAACAAAUGGUAAUAAACUGACGCUACCUGAUCCAA